AGUCGGACGGUAACAGGGAUUGCUUGCAAUCCGCUGACGAGUGGCGCACGGGUGCGCAACGCGUAUAGAACCUACCCUUUACAGGGGGAUAGCCCAGAGAAAUUUGGAUUAAUACCCCGUAGUACCUAUUAGAGGCAUUUCUAAUAGGUUAUAGUUUUCGAACGGUAAAGGAUGGCUAUGCGUCUUAUUAGCUAGUAGGUAAGGUAACGGCUUACCUAGGCUACGAUAAGUAGGGGCCCUGAGAGGGGGAUCCCCCACACUGGUACUGAGACACGGACCAGACUCCUACGGGAGGCAGCAGUGAGGAAUAUUGGACAAUGGGCGGAAGCCUGAUCCAGCCAUGCCGCGUGCAGGAAGACGGCCCUAUGGGUUGUAAACUGCUUUUAUACGGGAAGAAUAAGGGAUACGUGUAUCCUGGUGACGGUACCGUAAGAAUAAGGACCGGCUAACUCCGUGCCAGCAGCCGCGGUAAUACGGAGGGUCCGAGCGUUAUCCGGAAUUAUUGGGUUUAAAGGGUCCGCAGGCGGGCAAUUAAGUCAGAGGUGAAAUGGUGCGGCUCAACCGUAGCACUGCCUUUGAUACUGGUUGUCUUGAGUCAUGGUGGAGUGGCCGGAAUAUGUAGUGUAGCGGUGAAAUGCAUAGAUAUUACAUAGAACACCGAUCGCGAAGGCAGGUCACUAACCAUGUACUGACGCUGAUGGACGAAAGCGUGGGGAGCGAACGGGAUUAGAUACCCCGGUAGUCCACGCCGUAAACGAUGGAUACUAGCUGUCCGCUGCCUUGAGCAGUGGGCGGCCAAGCGAAAGUGAUAAGUAUCCCACCUGGGGAGUACGUUCGCAAGAAUGAAACUCAAAGGAAUUGACGGGGGCCCGCACAAGCGGUGGAGCAUGUGGUUUAAUUCGAUGAUACGCGAGGAACCUUACCAGGGCUUAAAUGCAGAAUGACAGGUUUAGAGAUAGACUUUUCUUCGGACAUUUUGCAAGGUGCUGCAUGGUUGUCGUCAGCUCGUGCCGUGAGGUGUCAGGUUAAGUCCUAUAACGAGCGCAACCCCUGCCGUCAGUUGCCAGCAAGUAAUGUUGGGGACUCUGACGGGACUGCCGGUGCAAACC
rnacentral:rRNA from 1 species